AUUGAACGCUGGCGGCAGGACUAACACAUGCAAGUCGAGCGGAGCGACGGACGGGUGAGUAAUGCCUAGCAAUCUGCCUGGUAGUGGGGGAUAACGUCCGGAAACGGGCGCUAACACCGCAUACUAUCAGAUUAGCCUAGGUCGGAUUAGCAAGUUGGUGGGGUAAAGCCCUACCAAGGCGACGAUCCGGAACUGGUCUGAGAGGAGGAUCAGUAAAAAUGGAACUGAGACACGGUCCAGAAUCCUACGGGAGGCAGCAGUGGGGAAUAUUGGACAAUGGGCGAAAGCCUGAUCCAGUCAUGCCGGGUGUGUGAGGCAGGUCUUCGGAUUGUAAAGCCCUUUAAGUUGGGAGGCGUUACCAACAGAAUAAGCAACGGCUAACUUCGUGCCAGCAGCCGCGGUAAUUC
rnacentral:rRNA from 1 species